AUUAAUCUAGUAUAAUACAUUACACACAAUUUCCACUUGUGAGAUUUAAACCUUAAGAUUAAUA
rnacentral:tRNA from 1 species